CGGCGACCGGCGCACGGGUGCGUAACGCGUAUCCAACUUCCCGAUACUCUUGGAUAGCCUUCCGAAAGGGAGAUUAAUACAAGAUGGUGUUUCACUUUCGCAUGUUAUUGAAACUAAAGAUUUAUCGGUUAACGGAUGGGGAUGCGUGACAUUAGAUAGUAGGCGGGUAACGGCCCACCUAGUCUACGAUGUCUAGGGGUUCUGAGAGGAAGGUCCCCCACACUGGAACUGAGACACGGUCCAGACUCCUACGGGAGGCAGCAGUGAGGAAUAUUGGUCAAUGGUCGGAAGACUGAACCAGCCAAGUAGCGUGAAGGAUGAAGGUUCUAUGGAUUGUAAACUUCUUUAUACGGGAAUAAAACCUCCCACGUGUGGGAGCUUGUAUGUACCGUAUGAAUAAGCAUCGGCUAACUCCGUG
rnacentral:rRNA from 1 species